AUUGAACGCUGGCGGCAGGCCUAACACAUGCAAGUCGAACGAGUGGCGGACGGGUGAGUAGUGUCUGGGAAACUGCCUGAUGGAGGGGGAUAACUACUGGAAACGGUAGCUAAUACCGCAUACCAUCGGAUGUGCCCAGCUGGGAUUAGCUAGUAGGUGGGGUAACGGCUCACCUAGGCGACGAUCCCUAGCUGGUCUGAGAGGAUGACCAGCAAAACUGGAACGUGUACACGGUCCAGAGUCCUACGGGAGGAAGCAGUGGGGAAUAUUGCACAAUGGGAGAAAUCCUGAUGCAGCCAUGCCGCGUGUAUGAAGAAGGCCUGCAGGUUGUAAAGUACUGUCAGCGGGGAGGCGUUACCCGCAGAAGAAGCACCGGCUAACUCCGUGCGAGCAGCCGCGGUAAUAG
rnacentral:rRNA from 1 species